CUUUAAGGCUUCUUAGCCUCUUUUAUACGAACAUGAACCGAGUAUAGUUAUCCAUAAAUGACGCCCAGCUCAUCUUAAAAUUUUCAAAGAUUAAAUAUUCAGCGUUUUUUUCCCUUUAGUUUCUUCGUUAAUGUUCGAAGUGGUUUAUUAAAUUAUACGGAGUACCAAGCUCACCAGAACCUAAGAAAUUUUUUCUCUCGCUUCUCAAAUCCUCUGAUGGCGGCGAUGGUCCUCUGAACAUAUUAUUUUGGGAGCACAAAUAACUGUUCACCUUCCUUUCUCAUCUUAAUCGAUGACGACUCAAGCUCCGUAGGCAUGGUUUUGGUGGUGGAAUUCGCAAUGGAGGUGACACUAGUGGUGGAAUCGAAAGAGGUAGAGAAUUUAGUGGUUGAAUAGGUAGUGAUGGAAGUUUCAUUGAUGAAAUCUGCGGUGAGUUACUUUCUCUUAGUCAAUUCGGUGGGGAUACGCGACUGCCAUAGUGGCACGACCCAAAUUAGCACGACCAAGGUACCAUCUGAUCUUUCUGGUUCUGAAAGACCCUGCUUACUCAAGGAUACCAAUAGAGAUUCCCCUUUCCACUAUGAUGUUUAUGGUAAACAUGGGAAUGUGCGUUGGAAAUAUUAAAAAUGGAUAUGGGGUUGCUUUGCAAUAUGCAUAGUAAUCGUGGCUUCUCCUUACUUUACGAAGUUGUAAAGUUAAGAAAAUCAGCUAUAGAGAUUUUGAGAUCCUCCCAUUUUAUAGCUUGCAACGGGUUCGAAGGCAACACUCCGUUCCACUUGAUUUCAUUUUUUAAUUGCUCAGGAGGAAAUUCAGAAAACAAUGGAAGAAGAACCAACACUUACCUAUGUACAGGUAGCACAAAAGGUGUUUAAGUCGAAGUCUCUUGAUCGGGUUUUGGGUUUUUGAGGAGGAAUAACACUUAAAGAAAUACCAGGACCACAACCUAGUAGGGUGGAACUUUAAUCUAAGUUGAAUGAGGCAGACAAACAAAAUCAUGUUCUUACCAAUCGCGUGGAUAUACGGUACAAGAAGAAAACAAUGUUCUUAAGAGUCGCAUGAGUUCAGUUGAAGAUGGGCUUAAUGAGCUUAAAGCAUUUAAAGAAGUGUUCUUACAAUGCUUUUCAAGAGAGGACACUCCAAGACGGAACACUUCAACUAGUUAGAUUUUUAUUUUGUUCUCUUAGAUCGAACAAAAAUUACUUAUCUUUUAGCCUUUUAGAAUUUAAAGACAAGGGGAUGUGAUUUUUUAUUUCACAUAACUUGAAAUUCUAUUGUCAAAAAUCUUUUGAGUAAUGAGUUUUUCAAUUGUUUCACAGGAAAAAAUGUAGGUGCUUCGAAAAGAGAAAAUAAUAUUAUUAUGAUUGCAAUAUUAAUGACAAAAUAGUUG